CGCGCUUCCGGAGCAGACUCGCCGGGGUCUAACCUCAGCGUCUGGCGGAGUCUACGCCCUCCGCGGAAGCGGGUCAGCGGCCCAGCGGAGAGCACGCGGUGUGUGCACUUGCAUCCAGGCCCAGAGCAGUUUUCCCAGCGCUGCCACCGGGCCUGAGCUCCGCCCCCACUGGGCGCGCACGCUGCUCACGGAGGACCCGGGUCACACGCACGUGGGACAGCUCAGGGACCCUCCGAGGCUCGAUGCCACUCCAGCCGUAGGGUCACAUUCCUCCUGUCUUCAAAACAAGCAAAGACUCAAACCCAGAACUCUUCCGGAAAUAAACCCACCAACUCCCACAAGCACGUGCGGACCUAUUACAAAGGAGGACAUGAAGCGAAGGAGCGUUGGACCCUGGCCCCGUCCCCUGGAGAUUUCCUGUUCCCAGGAGGGCUCUCUGCUUUGGUUUCUUGGAUUGGAGGAUUGGCGUAGUCAGCUCUGGAAAUGUUUUAGCCAUCUUCUCUGCAGAUAUUGCCUCCACCCCUAUUCUCGCUUCUAGAACGCUAAUUAACACACGUUGUGAUUUCUUCCUGUAUCUCCCGCGUCAUUUAGCUUCUCAUCUUUAUUUUCUAUCUUUGGCCUCUCUGGGCUUCAUUCCGGAUGGUUUCUUCUGACUCAUCUGCCAUUCAUCAGAAAGUACUACGUGUUAUGAACUCUUCUAUUGGCUUUUUAAUUAGAUUGUUGUACUUUCUCCAGCUCUAUAACAUGUGAUUCUUUUUAAGAUCCUUUUAAAGUGUUCCUUUCAAAAUGUUCAUGUCCUUAUUUAAAAUUUUAAAUUCAGCUUCUCAUGGACACACUAAACAUCAUUCAUUAAUAAAGGCCGAUCCCACCUGAUGACUUCAGGGUCUGUGACCCCUGGGGGUACAGCCCUGUGGUCUGUGGCUUCUGUUGAUUUUGCCUCAUUUCUUCUGUUAUGUGCCUCUGUGCUUUCCAGACAUUCUAUUUUCUGGACAUCCUCAGUUGAGCUUUAAAAGGGGCCCCAGAGAAUAUUACAAUGCAGAUAGCAAGUUAGGAGUAGCUGUUAGAUGUCACCUGGCCCAUACCCUAGGCCCAGUCUGCAAGCCAUCUCCCUGGCUUCUGGACCAGCCCCCUGUGUCAGAGGCCUCUUUCGUGGGACACGGUAGCACACACCUUCCAUCCCAGCAGCAGGAGGACUGCAGCAAGUUCACGGCCAGCCUGGGCUACACGUCAACUCCAAGGCCAGCCUGAACUUUAUAGCAAGACCCUGUCUCAAGGAACCAAAAAUCAAAUUACAAAAAGAAAAGGAGGAAUUUCCAGUGUGAGUCCUGAACAUCCCCUGUGGGAAUCUGGCACAGAUUUGAUCCCAGGGCUGUACAGGAGGGUGGACACACAGGUUCUUCUGUGCGUAGACCUCUCCCACAGAAGCCACUUGGAAAAGAGGAUCAUAGAUGGUUAUAUCACCGGACCUGACUCAUUGUCCAGUGAGCCGGCUCUCAUCCCCUCACAGCCUGCUCACGUGGCUCUUUCCCAGGGCCGCCGCCGUCACUCUGCUUUAUAUAACUGAGAUUUUAUGUGCUGUCUUAUCUUCCCUUUUGUUGUGGUCGCUUUGUUUGAUUCAUUUUGUUAGCCUGGGGUGAAGGGGUUUCGGUGUGUCUGGAAUGUUAUCUAUUCUUGUCCUGCUCAGCCAUUUCCUAUUUUAUUAAUCCACUUAUUCUCCAUUGUCUCUCCUCCCUGCUCUCAUCCCCUCCCUCCACGGGUAACUAUUUUAUUCUAUUAAUGGAAAUCUUUAUUUGAAAGUAUAUUAUUGGCUUCUGUGUAUGUUUUUUAAAAUGUAUGUGAAAGACACUGUGUUAUACUGUGUGUGUUAUUCUGUUUCCUCCUCUGUUUCUAACAUCCAACCAUAUUCCAAUGUGACAUCUAACUGAAGAUACCCUUCACCCUAGGGCUGCCCAGCUUUCCAAGAGUUACUGGUAUAAUAAGUGCAAAAUGAUAUCUCAUGAAAGUGUUAACCUGCAUUUCUCUGAGUACUGGUGAUUUUGAGCAUAUUUUUAUAGGCCUGCUUCUUGGGUUUUGCAUCUGUGGUUUGCCUGUUCAAGUCCUUUGCCCAUUUUUCUAUUUGAAGUUGCUAUUUUUUUCCUUAUUAAUCUGUAGAAAUUCUUUGGCGUCUAGAAUGAUUUAAAUACCUUGUCGGUUUCAGACAUUGCAAUAUCCUCCUUAAUUCCACUGUUGCUAAUUAUCCUUCACAUAUUGCCCUGUAUAGAAUAAAGAUCCAACAUUUUAUGCAAAUAAGUUCAUCAAAUUAAUCGUUUUCCUGUAUGAUGAGAACUUUCAAGACUGUAAUAAUUUCAUUCCUAUCCCUAGAGUACAAUAUGUUUUCCUCUACUUUUGCCUACUGUGUGUGUAGUGUUUUCUUUCACGUUUAUCUCUUAACUUCACCUAGAAUCUACUUUUAUAUCUAGAGAUAGUUUUCUGUUCCUCCGCAGGCUGGGUCUGUUUUCUCAUCACUUUCUGUUAAACAGUCCAUCCUUUCCCUCAGAUUUGGGGGAUGAUCUUGGUCAUGUUAAGUUCCCAUGCCCAGGCAUG
ensembl:lincRNA